GGCCUCCACUCCACCGACUGCUUUCAGGGGACUGGGAAAUUUGCUGUACCAAGGAGGAAACUAGUCUGUGAAGAACUGUAAAGAUAUAUGACAUUUCCACGAACUUGGGGUUAAGUCUAAAUAUUACAAAAGUGACUACUGGCCCUAGUAAGCCAGCGAGUGGAUUUGCAGAAGACAGUGCUGCGCAGAGAGAGGGUGCGUCAGACCUCCAGGAGGUGGUGUCCUUGAAGGAGCGGAUGGCGAGGUACCAGGCAGCUGUUUCCAAGGGUGACUGCCGCAGCUUCUCCACCAACAUGCUGGAAGAAUCAGAAAUGUGCACAGUGCCUGGCGGUUUGGCCAGAGUGAAGAAACAAUUUGAGAAGGACAGAAUUGCUUCUUCCUGUAAUACCUUUACUCAGUACCAAUACCAGCACCAGGACAGAUCUGAGCAGGAGGUAAUCCGUAGCAGCCAGGUCGACAUUGCAGGACACAGCCAGGAAAUGGAAAGAAAUGAACAAGAAACUUCCAAAGCACACAAAAUUGAUGUUCUUGGAACAGAAAUGGUCUCUCAUCUUGAAAAACACACUGUGGAAAUAAAUCAAGCUUCUCCACUCCAUCAAUAUGUUCAAGAAACAGUCAUAGAUACACCUGAGGAUGAAGAGAUUCCAAAGGUUUCAACUAAGUUUUUAAAAGAACAAUUUGAAAAGUCUGCCCAGGAAAAAGUCCUUUAUUCUGACAAAGAGACGACUCCAACCAAGCAGAUUAAGAUUGAAAAUGAAUAUGAAGAGACUUUAAAGCCAUCAUCAAUUGUGGGUACCUCUUCCACUUCUUCCACUUCAACCAGCCAGAGGAAGGAAACAUCAACCACAAGAUACAGUGACCACAGUGCCACUUCCUCGACUCUGGCACAAGUUAAUGCCACUUCUUCGGAAAAGGCAGAAGAAUUUCCUCCUCCCCCACCUGACAUACUUCAAACUCCAAUAGAUGUGACAGCAUUUUCCCAGUCCCCUGAACUCCCCAGCCCUCCUAGAAUACCACCAGUCCCCAAAGAAUUAUAUUCCAAGCAAAGAAAUUUGUAUGAAUUAAACCGUUUAUAUAAACACAUCCAUCCUGAGUUAAGAAAAAACUUAGAAAAAGAUUAUAUCAGUGAGGUUUCUGAGAUUGUUUCUCGUCAAGUGAACCUGGGGAUCUCAGUUUCAGCAGAUGUGCAGCAAGCCCGGUACGUUUUUGAAAAUACGAAUGACAGUUCUCAAAAAUGUCUGAACUCGGAAAGAGAACACUUGGAGUGGGAUGAAAUUCUGAAGGGGGAAGUGCAGUCCAUGAGAUGGAUCUUUGAGAAUCAGCCAUUAGAUUCCAUUAACAAUGGCUCUCCAGAUGAAGAUAACAUCUCCAAGGGCAUCACUGAUCGAGAAAUCAUUGCUGGUGGUGAUGUGAGAUACACAACAUGGAUGUUUGAAACCCAACCCAUCGAUACUCUGGGGGAUCAUUCUUCUGUCACUGAAGAAAAUGCUGAGAAAAUUCCUGAGCUAGCCAGAGGAGAUGUCUGCACAGCGCGGUGGAUGUUUGAAACAAAGCCAUUAGACUCAAUGCAUAAAAUGCAUCAAAGUCAAGAAGAAUCAGUAGUAACUGCCAUAAAGGACAUAACCGGGGGGGAUGUCAAGACUGUGAGAUACAUGUUUGAAACUCAACAUCUGGAUCAACUUAGACACCUUCACUCAGUAGAUGAGGUGCACCUACUGCAACUCAGGUCUGAGCUCAAAGAAAUUAAGGGAAAUGUUAAGAGAAGUAUAAAGUGUUUUGAAACUCAACCAUUAUAUGUUAUUAGAGAUGGUUCAGGUCAAAUGCUAGAAAUUAAAACCGUUCACAGAGAAGAUGUUGAAAAGGGGGAUGUGAGAAGAGCACGUUGGAUGUUUGAAACACAGCCCUUAGACACAAUUAACAAGGAUAUAACAGAAAUUAAAGUCAUCAGAGGAAUAUCCAUGGAAGAAAAUGUCAAAGGUGGGGUGAGUAGGGCAAAGUGGUUAUUUGAAACCCAACCUUUGGAGAAAAUCAAAGAAGAGUCAGAAGAGGUCAUCAUUGAAAAGGAAACAGUAAUAGGUACAGAUGUCUCUAGAAAGUGUUGGAUGUUUGAAACACAGCCAUUAGAUAUUCUAAAAGAAGUUCCUGAUGCAGACCCUCUAAGGUCUGAAGAGAUAAUAGGGGGUGAUGUACAAACUACUAAGCAUUUAUUUGAAACACUUCCAAUAAAGGCGUUAAAAGAUAGCCCUGAUGUUGGAAAACUUCAAAAAAUUACUACUUCUGAAGAAGAAAAGGGGGAUGUUAGGCACCAGAAAUGGAUUUUUGAAACCCAACCUCUGGAAGAGAUUAGAGAAGAUAAAAAAGAGUACGUACGAACAGUGAAACUUGAAGAGGUUGACAGAGGAGAUGUAAGGAAUUACACACGUAUCUUUGAAUCAAACAACUUAAUUAAAUUUGAUGCAUCGGAUAAAAUAGAGGUGGAAGGAGUCACAAGAGGUGCUGUGGAGUUAAAUAAAUCACUCUUUGAAACAACACCAUUGUAUGCCAUUCAAGAUCACCUUGGAAAAUAUCAUCAAGUAAAGACAGUCCAGCAAGAAGAAAUCCUAAGAGGGGAUGUAAGAAGCUGUAGGUGGCUUUUUGAAACAAGGCCCAUUGACCAGUUUGAUGAAAGCAUUCAUAAAUUUCAGAUAAUUAGAGGAAUAUCUGCUCAAGAAAUACAGACUGGGAACGUGAAAUCUGCUAAAUGGCUGUUUGAAACCCAACCUCUUGAUGCGAUUAAAUAUUUUAGUAAUAUGGAAGAAGUAGAAAGUAAAACUGAACAAGCUACAGAUAUUAUUAAAGGGGAUGUCAAAACCUGUAGAUGGCUUUUUGAAACGCAGCCAAUGGAGUCUCUUUAUGAAAAAGUUUCAUUAAUGACUGGCAGUGAAGAAAUUCAUAAGGGAGAUGUCAAAGCCUGUACUUGGCUCUUUGAAACUCAGUCACUUGAUUCCAUAAAAGAUGACUCCGAAGCAACAGUCAAAUUGCAAACUGUAAAACAGGAGGAAAUCCGUGGUGGGGAUGUUCGUACAGCAUGCUUUCUUUUUGAGACAGAAAAUUUGGACAGCAUAAAAGGAGAAGAAGGAAAGGAAAUCAAGGCCGUGGAAAUGGAUAUCCAAGCUGGGGAUGUCUCCAGCCUGCGGCAUAAAUUUGAAAGUCAGUCCUUAGAUUCUAUAAGUUCCAGUUCAGAGGAAGUUUUGAAAAAGAUCAAAACCCUAAAGACUGAAGAUAUUCAGAAAGGCAAUGUUUUAAACUGCAGGUGGCUUUUUGAAAACCAACCAAUUGAUAUGAUAAAAGAAAGCCAAGAAGGUGAUAAAUUAGUUAAGACAGUGACAGACAUACAAGGUGGAGAUGUAAGAAAGGGGUGCUUUAUUUUUGAGACCUUUUCUUUAGACGAGAUUAAAGAAGAAUCUGACUAUAUUAGCACCAAGAAAACAAUUACUGAAGAAGCAAUAAAGGGUGACGUAAAAAGCUACAGAAUGCUCUUUGAAACCCAGCCACUCUAUGCAAUUCAAGAUGGAGAAGGGUGUUAUCAUGAAGUGACAACAGUUAAAAAGGAAGAGGUAAUUCAUGGAGAUGUACGAGGGACAAGGUGGCUUUUUGAAACGAAACCAUUAGACUCCAUUAAUGAAUCAGAGACUGUGUAUGUUAUUAAAUCUGUCACACAAGAAGACAUUCAGAAGGGAGAUGUUAGUUCUGUCAGAUACAGAUUUGAAACCCAGCCACUGGAUCAGAUUGCAAAAGAGCCACAUGGUAUUGUGCCCACUGCAGACUAUAUUCAAGGUGGGGAUGUAAAGACAAGUAAACAAUUCUUUGAGUCUGAAAAUUUGGAUAAGAAGACUUAUAUAAGAACAGUAAGUGUCAAUGAAAUACAAAAGGGCAAUGUUAAAACAUCUACUUGGCUAUUUGAGACCCACACUCUAGAUGAGCUGAGAGGAGAAGGGUCAGGAUAUGAAAAUAUCAAAACAGUCACCCAGGAAGAUAUGCAGAAAGGUGAUGUGAAGCAGGCAGUAUGGCUUUUUGAAAACCAAACUUUAGAUUCUAUUAAGGAUGCAGAUGAAAGCAUCACAAAAAUCACCAAGGAAGAAAUCCCUCCUUCUGAUGUCAAGACAACUACAUGGCUCUUUGAAACUACACCCCUUCAUGAAUUUACUGAAAAUAGGGUAGAAAAGGUGGAAGUUAUUGGCAAGAGCAUUAAAGAAACCUUAGAAGAACUCUACUCUCAAAAAGUUAUUGAGUCUCCUGGAAUCAUCAUCGAAGCUGACGAAGUUGGGGAUAUUCGAAUGGCAAAAUACAAGCUCCUGAAUCAAGCUUCUCCUGAGAUACAGAAAGAAGAAAUCGUCAGAGUUGACCUCAGAAGUAUAAUGGUGAAGCUACUUUCCAAAAGAGACUGUAAGAAAAGAGAGAUUUUGGUUAGUGAAGAAGAGAAGGGAAACGUUAAUUUGACCAAAACUCAAUUAUUAAACAGAUCAACAGAAUUUCAUGCUGAAAAAGAAGAGAUAGUGAGUGGUGAUGUCCAACAAGCAAUAAAAAACCUGUUCUCCGAGGAAGGAUCUGUAAAGAAAGGCAUUUUGAUUCAGGAAGAUGAAAGAGGAGAUGUUCACAUGACUAUCUAUUGUCUUCUUCAUGAAAAUGCUGGUGACACAAUUAAGCGUGAAGAAGUAAUAGGGGGUGAUGUAAAACGUACCAUUCAUAAUUUGCUAUCUUCCAUAUCAAACAAUAAAAUAUCUGAAAGGGCUAAAAUCAAUGCCUCUGAGAGGGGAAAUGUUCAGUUUUUUACAACAUGCAUAGAAACUGGAGCUUUGGAUUAUCUCAGACAGCUCCAGACAUGGUCAGAUGAAACACUAACAGCUAGGAAACAAGAAAAAGAGGAAGAUGUAAUUGGUGGCGAUGUAGAAGGUACAAAACUGUUAUUAAAGAAAAGGCAAUCUGAGGUUGAACGUACUGUUAAUGAAACUGGCAUCAUCCCAGGAGAUGUGCAUAAUACAGUUAAGGUUUUUCUGACAGAGCCUCAGAGUACAUCUUGUAAGUUACCCAAAGAAGAAAUCAUAAAAGGUGAUUUGAAGUCAACUCUAAAUUCCCUGAGCCAGGCCAUAAGUCAGAAAACAGUGGCUAAAACAGAAGAAAUUAUAAAAGGUGACAUGCUGGCCACACUCAAGUCACUGAAGGAAUCAAGCCAAAAAUGGAAAGAAUCUAAACAGCCUGAUGUCAUCCCUGGGGAUAUAGAGAAAGCUACUGAAUGCCUUGAAAAGACUGCAAACACAAGGAUGGAAAUCCUGAAAAAGGAGCUUAUCCGAGAUGACCUUGAAGUAUCAUUAAGGAACCUAAAAGAAGCACAAAGAGCUUUCAAAGAGGUAAAUAAAAAAAGUGUAAUCAAAGAAGAUGUGCAAUCUGUGAUGGUAGGAUCUGAGGAAGAGCAGAAAACCGAGAAUCAUCAGGUGGCUGUCCAGAGGGACAAAAAAAGCGUUCUUCAGCCACGACCAGGACCAUUUGAGCCAGCAGCCAGGUGGCAGGGGGGAACAGACAUUCUUAAUCAAACUAGAGGCAAAUCUUGUCAUGGGGAUUUAAGAGAAGAAAGAACUGAGGUUCAUCUUCCAAAAGCCCCCAAGGGCACCGUAAAGAUUGUCAUAGAUCGUGAACAAAACAAUGAUGCUCUUGAGAAAAACCUUAGAAGGCUAUCUAAUUCACAGCACAAAGCUAUUAAAAAUGUGUUGGAAUCAGGAGACAGAAUGGGUAUCUGGACUGAUAACACAACAGAGCAACAUCUUAGAGAUGAACAUGUGAGUGGACAACUGACUUCAACUGUGUCAGUUAGGGAACAUCUAAAAACCAAGGAAUCAGAGACAGUGAGAGAACAGAAGAAGGAUGCUGUCUUUACCCAAUCUAUUGAUAAAACAAUUGGAAAGCAACAGACUGAAACUUGUGAAGUGAGGAAUGACCACCAGAAGAUUGAGGCUUUACCUGACAAGAGUCCUAAAAAUACCAAAAACACUAAAACAUCAACAGAUACACAAAGCUCUAAGCCCAGUUUAACCCAGGGUCCAGUCAACAAGGUGGCUGGAGAAACAUGUGAAGUUUCAGAGGACUUUCAGAAGCAGACUCUGUUAAAGCAAGAAAUGCAAUAUUCUAAUAAAGAUAUAAAGAAAAAGAACGUGACCCCUCAACCAGUGUGGCAGACUUUGCCUGUGGAUCAAGACAUGUCAAAUGUAACAGAAGUGAAAGUCGCCCCAAAAAGCCACAAUAAAUUUAAGGCAACUGACAAAAAGCAGACUGAUAUUCAUCUGAAAAGCCAGGACUUUCUAACGAAGACAAAUACUUCCAAAGACUUAAAAAUGGCAAUGGAAAUGUCCUUUAAUCCAAUCAACUGUAACUCUGAAAAUAAUGCAAAAGAAAGUGAGUUCCCUCUUCCACCUCCAUCUCCACCUCCUCCUCUACCUUCCAAUUCAUCAGCUGAAAUUGAAUUUCCUCUUCCUCCUCCACCUCCUUUCAUGAUGUUGCCUGAAAAAAAUGUGUUUCUUCCCUCACUGUCCACAGAGAAGAUAAAGGCUGAAUUUGAGAAUUUCCCAGGCCUCCCUCUUCCUCCACCACCAGAAGAUGAGAAGUUUGAAAGAGAAUGUCUAGCAAUGUUUCCACCACCUCCCCCUCCGCCAGCUCCAUCUCUAAAACCAGCACAUCUCCUCUCCUCUUCUGUUCAAGAAAAGCACAGUGGAGCAUUCAUACAAUAUUCCCAAGAAGAAGCCUCAAGCUCUCAGGCUAAAAUCAUAACAGGAAAAUCUGGAGGACGUUUGCCACCUCCCACACUCCCCAAACCCAAAUUUCCCAAGCAGAUAGCAGAUAAGAAGAAUCAUAGUUCCCCAAAAAUUGAAUUGGAAAAUUCACCACCAGAUAUGGAAUGUAAAAUUACUCCCUCAAAGGAUCAGAAAAGACUAAUAAUGGCAAGUAGCAGUGAACACAUAGAGACAAAGCAGAACGUAUCUAGAAAAAGUCUUGAUAAAAGAAAACAAUUAUCUGUGGACUCUACAAGUUCUCUCUCACAGACAGUUCCAGAAACUUCACCACCCAAGGAAAAACUGAUAGCACCUCUCGUAAAAUCUCAUUCAUUUCCAGCAGGUUCAGGACAGCAAAGUCCAAAACCUUAUAUGAGAAAAUUUAAGACGCCUUUAAUGAUAGCUGAAGAAAAAUACAGACAACAAAGAGAAGAACUUGAAAAACAGAAAAAACAGGAGAGUUCUUGCUACAACCUAGUCAAAACAGAAAGCCAAAAUCAAAACGUAUCAGAGUUGAAAAAGGAAGUGCUGUUACAAAAAACAAAGGAGGAGGUCCCCCUAGCUGGAAUGGAUUCAGGGGUCACUGUGGCCCAAACCAACCCAGUCUCUCGAAGUCUGUCUCAAGUACUAGGAGUGUGUACCGAUAACCAGCUUUCCACAACACCAGCAGUGACUUUCACUGCCAAGAGGCUCCAACGUGUUCCAACAGCCUCAGAAGACAAAGAUACCAUGAAAAAGGAAGUUUUGCAGAGCUCAAGGGACAUGAUCCAAUCUAAAUCAGCUCGUGAAAUUAAACAGAGUCACCAAGAAUGUAGGACACAGCAAACACAACAGAAGAAGUAUCUGGAGCAGUUGCACUUGCCCCAAAGCAAACCAGUUUCCCCCAGUUUCAAAGUUAAAACCAUCAAGCUUCCAACUCUAGACCGUAAGUUAAAUGAAACAAACCACAGCUCUGAAAGCCAUGAAAAGCAAGCUGAAGUUGAUGUUCAAACCGUUACCAAACAACAGUACCAGGAAACCGAGAAAACAGAAGCAAGGACUGAAUGUAGCAAUAAGCAAUUGGUGGCUGAAAAAUAUUAUCAGUUACCGACGAAGGAGAAGACAGUAACAGUAAAACUGCCUACAGAAUCCACAGAGAAAAGCCAUGAAAGUAAGCUCAAUAUAUUUCAUGAGAAGCAAAAAGAAUUUAGAGAAUCUGAGAGUGGGAAACUUCCAGGAAGUAAAGAAACAAUUCCGGGACCACCAAUGAUUGGUCCAAAGAAAGAAAAACUAGUAGUUGAAAGAAAACAAGAACAUUUGAAUAAAUCAGCCCAGAAGGUAGUCAAACAAAAGGUUACUGAUGCACAUCUUGAUUCACAGACUCAGAAUUUUCACCAAACAUAUAUACAGACUUCUGAAAGUCAAGGUGAACAUAAAAAGUUUCCCCCGCCAUGUAAUAAUCUGCAGGAAGAAAAAUGUCUUGGCGUCAAGGGCAUACAACAGAAACAAGUCUUUUCUGACACUAAAGAUUCAAAGCAAGAGAUGACACAGGACAAAUCUUUAUUUUCCUCUGUGAGAGAAUCCCAGCGGGAUGAUGGAAAAUGUGCUGUAAAUAUAUUGGAAUUCUUGAGAAAACGUGAAGAACUACAACAGAUUUUGUCUAGGGUAAAAGAGUUUGAAGCAGAGCCAGAUAAAAAUGGCAUUAAAACAUUUCAGAUGCUCUUAAAUAUUAUUCCAGUAUGGCUAUUAAGUGAAGAAAAAAGAGAAUAUGGACUUCGCAUUGCUAUGGAGAAUAACAUAGAAAAAAUCAAAGAAGAAAUAAUGCACAUUAAAACUCAGGCAGAGGAUAGGCUUGUGUCCUGUGAAAAUAUAAUUCAAACAGCCAUGAUAUCCUCUAAAGCAGGAAAGCAGAGAAAUAAAGCUACUAGUGUUAAUGAAACAUUAUCUAAAGUGUCUAAUGCUGAUGUCAGCUAUCAUAAAAACACUGAGCAGAAAGAAAAUACAAUUGUAGAAAAAACAGAGCACCACCAAGUAGCAACUCAUCAAGAAGCAACUGCUCAGCAUCAUGUGAAAACCCAUCAGGAGAUUAAACUAGUUGAUGCCAAGACUUCUCCUCCCUCUUUAAAAACACGCCCGCCAUCACCAACUUUCAUAACAAUCGAGUCUACUGCACGGCAAACAGAAACCUCUGCUAAGGAUAAGCUUUCCCAGUCCCCUGAAAAGGACAGUUUUGCUGAACCAUCACCAAGACUUGUGUCACAACCACCUAGAAUUCUCAGAGCAAAUACCUCCCCGUCUCCACCCAAGAGUCACUCUGAACAGCUUGUCAAACUCAAAGACACCACUGCGAAGUUAUCCAGGGGGACCAUCCCAGGUUCAUCCAUAACCCCGGUGCCCAUUGUAGAGAAGAGGACUGAGAUCAUCACAUCUCCUGCAACACUUCGUCGUCAAAUUAAGAUAGAGGCUCGUGGUAGGGACUCUCCACCUACAAUCACAAUACCUAUCUCUCCACCUACAAUCACAAUACCUAUAAGUGUAAAUCACGCUGAUAGUGGUUCCUUCAGAGAAUCCAUGGAAGCUCAAGAGGAAGAAAGGAAAGUAGGGAAAAGGACGACUUACGUUCACAAAGAUGGAGUAAAUUCCACUAAGCGCAGAGUGCCAGAUACUGUGAGUUUUGACGCAGUCGAAAUCAUCCGCCAAGUCGAAAAACCUCACCUAUCAGAGCACGUGCAGAGGUAUGAAGCCGCCAACCGGACUGCUCAAGUGGCUGAAAAUGUCAUGAAUGACCAUGAAAAUGAAAUAAACAGAUGGUUCAGGGGAUUUGAGGAUGGCCUAGGUUUUGACGCAAAGUCAAAUAGAAGAGUUUAUGCAAAUGGAGAAGCAAACCAUAAUAUAAAACAAGAAAGUCGUACAUUUUGUAAGGAGGAAUUUGGAUUAUCAUCUUUAGAAAGCGCUAGCUUUACCGGCUUUUCUCACAAUCAUCCUAGAGAGCUGCAAGAAACGAUGCCUGUUAAGCCGCCCAGCAUCUGCUCUGAAACAAGAUCUCCAAGUGAACUUUUCUCAGGUGUGGAUGCAUUUGAGAGUCAAGCUGUUGGGUCGAGGAUGAUGGUCUCUUCAUCACAAGGCUCAGAAGCUGGCAGAUCCGCCUUUGACUUUAAGCACGCCCCACCAACCUAUGAGGAUGUCAUCGCUGGCCAUAUUUUAGAUGUUUCUGAUUCACCUACAGAACUCAGGAGGAAUUUUCAACAGACGUGGCAGGAGAGUGAAAGAGUUUUUAAAAACCUGGGAUAUGCAACCUCAGAUGCUUCUGCAACUGAGAUGGAAACCACCUUCCAAGAGGAAUCUGCAUUUAUGAGUGAAACUGCAACUCCAAGACAAGGAAAUAUGUAUACUUUGUCAGAAGACGGUUUAUCCAAUGGAGCGCCUAGUAGCAGACAGGCAGAGUUUUCAUAAAUCCUGUUUCCGCUGCCACCAUUGCAACAGUAAACUGAGGAAAACAGAAGAUUUGGCUUCUGAAUUUUCUGCUGAAUUUGCCUUUCCUCAAAUACAUUUGAUGAUUCUAAGAAGAAAACUAACAUGAAUAUAAAUGAGCUGCUUCCUGGUGAUAUAGAAUACAGGGUGUCAGUUUGCUGGGGCUGCCAUAGCUGAAUACUACAGACUGAAUAGCUUAAACAGCCAGAAAUUUAUUUUCACACAAUUCUGGAGGCUGAAGUCCAAGAUCAAGUUGGCAAGUUGGUUUCUUCCGAUGCCUCUCUACUUGGCUUACAAAUGGUCAUCUUCUUUCUGUCAUGGUCUUUCUUUUGUAUGGGUAUGUGUCCAGAUUUCUUCCUCUUAUAAUGACACCAGUUAUAUUGGAUUAGGGCCUACCUUAAUGACCUCAUUUUACAUUAAUUAUCACUUCAAAGACCCAACCUCCAAAUGUAGUCACUUUUCCAGAUACUGGGGGUUAGGACUUCAACAUAUUAAUUUUAGGGGGACACAGUUCAGUCCAUAACAGCAGUAAUCCCCUUUCACCUUGAGUCUUUUUAAAAUACAUCUAUUAAUAUUAUGAAACAACUUCCCCAAUAAUUUUUCACUUGGGAUUUAUAUCACAGAACUAUGUCAUAUAUAGAUUUAUGCUAUAAAAAUUAAUAUUUCCAGGAAAAUAAUUCUCUUUCAAAGGAAUCAAAAUGGGCUCAUGAUAGACCAAGUGCUUUACCAGAGGAGGCUGUAUGAUGGCAGCGCUUAGCAUGUAAGGGGUUUUGCAUUAUUUUUUCAAGACUGGACCUUCCAAUGAAUCUUAUAAAAAUGUCCUGUUACCCAGAAAACUGUGCUGAAUUAUCUUUUUCAGCUUCCACACAAUCAACCCUUGCGAGAGAUUUGGAACUCUAGGCAGCACAUUCUUUGGUUUAGGACAAUGGUUUUCCCACAGUGCAAUAAUACUGCAGAAUGCACACCUACUACCCAGUCCCUAAUGUGCAACCAACAUGUGCAGCUGCCAUAUUUUUCCCCAGACUAACAAUACUCUAUAAACAUCUCUAGAGUAAUUUCUAAAGGCACAUUAAUUUUUUAAGGAACUGGAAGAUAGAAAAAUAAUACUUUCUCUGCUAUGUUUUAGUAACUGGCUACUAAUUACUAUCCAACUGAGGAGGAGAAAAGUUUUCCCAUUGCUAAGAAAAUGAACUUAUAAAAGACAAUCACAGAUGUUGCAGUGAAAGAGAAGUGCAAUACAUUUUCUCCUCUCUGGAAAUGCUAUUGAGAACUAAGUGUGAUUUCCAUAUCUAAUGUAAAAGUUUAAAAAUCUGCAGGUAUUAACAGUAAUAUAAAAUCUUACUUUAGAAAAAUUGAAUUUACAUGGAGUUCAGAAAUAGGCAAUGAAUGUAAUACUCAGAUUCAAAAUAAGAGCCGUGAGAGCAUAUGAGAGGUACUGAAGAAUUUGGAGUCUCAGUCCCAUGGAAAUUAUCUCUAAUAGAAGACAAGAAAUAUUUUUGGAUAAAUAUAAUCUAAAAGUAAUUUAAUCUCAGAUUUGAUGGAGUCUUUUGGAAAGGCUAAUUUAAGCUACCUAACAAGGUUCAUUUACCAUGGAUAUUUCCCCCCUAAAAUAUUAUGAGAAAUUUUAAAACUUUAGAUAUUUGUAUGCAAAUGAAGUGAUAGAGGGAAAGUAAUAGUUGUAGAUUGUCUACAAUAGGAUCAUUAUCUUUUAAUAUAGUACCUCUUUGUAGAAAGUAAACUGAUGGAUAGAAAGCCUGACAAAUAUAGACUGUGGUGCCCUAGUCAACAGCCAUUCCACAAAUAUUAUGGAACCCUUGGUAUGUGUUAGCACAGUGAUUUUUCUUUUUAAGAAUAAAUCAUGGUACCUUCCAUAUAAGCUCUCAGACUGGAAUAAAAUACAUUAAAAAAACCCAUUAA